GCACAGGCAGGGAGGAGAACGGCAGCUCCCAGGCUUCCACUGGGGAGUCCCUCCGGCUUUCUCCGGGAUUCCGCCCGCCCCAGGGUCUCAGACCAACAGAAGGACCCGGGAUCCCUCAGCAGCUCCGGACCUCAUCUGCCCCACUUCGGCAUCCCGCGCGGGAAUAUGACCAUGUAGGAGUAACCCGGGGCUCUCAAGGACUCUACGGUUUGUCACGGUUUGAACGCAAGCGCAGGGCCUGGGGCGGGUGCAGGUGGAGGGUCGGCCUCUUUCUGCCCUUGGGAACGCCCCUUUCUGGAUGUGGACCGGCGAGGCGGUCUCUCCUUUCUGCCCUCGCCUGGUGAAAUGUGGGCACUGCUGCCAGGAGAAAAAAAACUGAAGCUGUGAAUUCAGUUCAUCACCCUUCCCUUGUUUAUUAAAAAAUCGGACCUUGGCCGGGCGCGGUGGCUCACGCCUGUAAUCCCAGCACUUUGGGAGGCCGAGGCAGGCAGAUUAGGAGGUCAGGAGAUCGAGACCAUCUUGGUUAACACGGUGAAGCCCGGUCUCUACUAAAAAUACAAAAAAGUUAGCAGGGUGGUGGCGGUCGCCUGUUGUCCCAGCUGCUCGGGAGGCUGAGGCAGGAGAAUGGCGUGAACCCGGGAGGCGGAGCUUGCAGUGAGCCGAGGUCGUGCCACUGCACUCCAGCCUGGGUGAAAAAAUAAAAAAAAAAAAAGAUCAGGACCUUUACCCGCGCUGACGGUGAUUGGUUUUCAUGACCAAUAAAGAAAUUCGAAUGAGAUGAAGCUACUUACACCUGUGUUUUUACUGUUCCUUUAAAAUGCCCUAAUUUCACAACCAUGUGAAAAUUCCUGCCAUCUCUCCCCCAAGGCAUUUAUACAA
rnacentral:lncRNA from 1 species